rnacentral:rRNA from 1 species
GUACCUACGGGACGCAGCAGUAGGGAAUCUUCCACAAUGGGCGAAAGCCUGAUGGAGCAACGCCGCGUGGGUGAAGAAGGUCUUCGGAUCGUAAAACCCUGUUGUUAGAGAAGAAAGUGCGUGAGAGUAACUGUUCACGUUUCGACGGUAUCUAACCAGAAAGCCACGGCUAACUACGUGCCAGCAGCCGCGGUAAUACGUAGGUGGCAAGCGUUAUCCGGAUUUAUUGGACGUAAAGGGAACGCAGGCGGUCUUUUAAGUCUGAUGUGAUAGCCUUUGGCUUAACCGGAGGA